CAACCUGCUCUUCUCCUCUCGCCGGGGGCACCUCUUUUUGCAGACGGACCAGCCCAUUUACAACCCUGGCCAGCGAGUUCGGUACCGGGUCUUUGCUCUGGAUCAAAAGAUGCGCCCGAGCACUGACACCAUCACAGUCACGGUGGAGGUGAGUCCCCGACCUCUGGCUUCCUGAUCCUGGCCACUGACGUGACCUCCUGCCUGUGACCACUUCUCCCCUUGCAGAACUCUCACGGCCUCCGCGUGCGGAAGAAGGAGGUGUACAUACCCUCGUCCAUCUUCCAGGAUGACUUUGUGAUCCCAGACAUCUCAGAGUGAGCGCUCCCAAUGUGGGGGCUGCCCCAAGCUACACCACCCAAUUCCUAUUAGGCUCUCCACCUCCCACACAGAGGCACAUCCUGAGAUGCCCUGACCCUCAGUCUCCUGAGCCUCUGGUUAACCCCCACAGUCCUCUUCCCAGGGAAGCAGGCCGCUGGCUCUCCGUUCCGCACUGUACAGAUGGGCU
rnacentral:sRNA from 1 species